rnacentral:misc_RNA from 1 species
UCUCCGUUGGUGAACCAGCGGAGGGAUCAUUACAGAGUUGCAAAACUCCCAAACCAUUGUGAACGUUACCUAUCCCGUUGCUUCGGCGGGCGGCCCGGGCCCCGCGCCCGGCGCCCCCCGGCCCCCCGUGGGCGCCCGCCGAGAGUAAACCAAACCCUUGAAUUGCAUGGCCUCUCUGAGUCUUAUGUACUGAAUAAGUCAAAACUUUCAACAACGGAUCUCUUGGUUCUG